UUUCAUUUACUUUAAAUAAGUGAUUGGGACCCCUAACCCCCCCCUCUGUCUACUCAACUCUAAUAUAAACCCAAUUUAUUUUAAAAUGAAUGUAAUGGAUGUAACGCAUCUAAUACUAAGUUUCAACAACGGAUCUCUUGGCUCUCGCAUCGAUGAAGAACGCAGCGAAAUGCGAUAAGUAAUUGAAUUGCAGAAUUCAGUGAAUCAUCGAAUCUUUGAACGCACCUUGCGCUCCUUGGUAUUCCUUGGAGCAUGCCUGUUUGAGUAUCAUGAAAUCUUCAAAGUAAAUCUUUUUGUUAACUCAAUUUGGUUUCACUUUGGUAUUGGAGGUUCUUGCAGCUUCACACGCUGCUCCUCUUUGUUCAUUAGCUGGAUCUCAGUGUUAUGCUUGGUUCCACUCGGCGUGAUAAAUUAUCUAUCGCUGAGGACACCCGGUAAAAAAGGUGGCCAAGGUAAACGCAGAUGAACCGCUUCUAAUAGUCCAUUCACUUGGACAAUAAAAUAAAUAUUUUAUGAUCUGAUCUCAAAUC
rnacentral:rRNA from 1 species